UAGAGUUUGAUCAUGGCUCAGAUUGAACGCUGGCGGCAGGCCUAACACAUGCAAGUCGAGCGGAAACGAGUUAUCUGAACCUUCGGGGGACGAUAACGGCGUCGAGCGGCGGACGGGUGAGUAAUGCCUAGGAAAUUGCCCUGAUGUGGGGGAUAACCAUUGGAAACGAUGGCUAAUACCGCAUGAUGCCUACGGGCCAAAGAGGGGGACCUUCGGGCCUCUCGCGUCAGGAUAUGCCUAGGUGGGAUUAGCUAGUUGGUGAGGUAACGGCUCACCAAGGCGACGAUCCCUAGCUGGUCUGAGAGGAUGAUCAGCCACACUGGAACUGAGACACGGUCCAGACUCCUACGGGAGGCAGCAGUGGGGAAUAUUGCACAAUGGGCGCAAGCCUGAUGCAGCCAUGCCGCGUGUAUGAAGAAGGCCUUCGGGUUGUAAAGUACUUUCAGCAGUGAGGAAGGGGGUGUCGUUAAUAGCGGCAUUUCUUGACGUUAGCUGCAGAAGAAGCACCGGCUAACUCCGUGCCAGCAGCCGCGGUAAUACGGAGGGUGCGAGCGUUAAUCGGAAUUACUGGGCGUAAAGCGCAUGCAGGUGGUUUGUUAAGUCAGAUGUGAAAGCCCGGGGCUCAACCUCGGAACUGCAUUUGAAACUGGCAAACUAGAGUACUGUAGAGGGGGGUAGAAUUUCAGGUGUAGCGGUGAAAUGCGUAGAGAUCUGAAGGAAUACCAGUGGCGAAGGCGGCCCCCUGGACAGAUACUGACACUCAGAUGCGAAAGC
rnacentral:rRNA from 1 species